rnacentral:lncRNA from 1 species
GAAAACCCGAUUACACCCUUGGAUGAGAGUAAACAGCCCCAAAUCCUUUUGCUCCAAUUGAAUCAAUUCUUGUUCCUCUUGCUCGAUUUGAAAAUCAAUCAACGAACCUCGCCCAAUCUUUGAUCUUUGAAGAGAAUCCGAUUGAAACCUUGAUCCAAGUCUCAUUUUCUCUUGGUUUCAGCUCAGAAAACCCUUAGGGAAAGAAAAAUUAGGGUUUGGGACGUUCUAACCUUAGCCGCCUCCUCCUUUUCCUCUCUUCGUUCUUUUAAUUAAUACCCCCUGUCACCUCCAACACGGCCGUGUCCCUGGCCGUGUUGGGGACACAGGCUGGUGUUCCUGGCCGUGUUACUCUCUGUGGCCGGCUCCCUAAAAGCUUUUUUUUCUUUCAUGUUUGACGCAUCCAACACGGCCGUGUUGGUAACACGGCCAGUGUUGAAUCCAACACAGCCGUGUUAACCUUCCGCAUGGGCAUACUUAGCUCGUUUCGACAGCUUUGACGUCUAAUUAUGCUCCAAUUCUUUUCUUUAUCAUCCUUUGACCUCUUUUGGACCUAAUGCACACAAACAUACAUAUAGGGUGAGUGUUGAGACCAAUUCAUAUCCAAAUGUCCAUAAAAUCAAUCUUAAAAACCCCAUUUAGAUGUGUGUAUUUUACGCACAUCAGGAUGAUCUUGUAAUGCAUUAGAACUAGCAUUUACAUGAAUAUUUGGAAUAUGCAUGAAAUGUGAAUUGAUGAAUGUGUUGACAGGUACUCAAAGGUCUGGAAAGGAAGUUGUGAAGAAAGGAGGUUCUUAUAUGCUGAAGGAAUAAGUGUAUUUUGAGUAAGUAAAUAGUUAAUAUUUGCUAUGUUCAUACAUUUAAUCAAAUGUUCCGCAAAUGGUUGCGUUUGCUUAAUAUUAUUUAUGUUUGAAUGAAUGAGAUGGAAAUGAUUGGUGUUGAGUGGAACAAUUGUUAUUGCUUGAAUAUGAUAUAAGUGAAAUGAUUGAAUUGUGAUGUUAAGUGUAUAUGUGCAUGUUAAUAGUGGAUUCCCCUAUGAAAAAAAAUAUAUAUAUAUAUAUAUAUAAAGCCUUGGGAGGCUAAAGCCUAGAGAGGCUAUAAAAGUGUAUAAUGUGAGGAUGAGGCGGAGCAGCUUACGUGUGCGAUGGGUGAGGAUGAGGCGGAGUAGCACAUUAAAGGGGAUCCACAAGCCGUGAGAACUAACCAUAAUUGUUGAAUUGUAUUUCUUCUAUGAUGGUUGUAAUGAAUUGAGUAGAAUGGUAUGAAUUUAUACCUAAACUAUGAAUCAUGGUAAGUUAUGUGAUUAGGUGGAAAUUGUAUGAAGUGUAUAUGAUAUAGAUUAUGUUGAUUAUUUAUUUACUGAGCUGGAGGCUCACCCCUCUCCAAAAUUUUUCUUUUCAGCUUAUGCUGGAAUUUCUUUCUGUGAUAUGUUCGACUUUAUGUGGGAUUAAAAUGCUAGUUGCUAUGUUGGUAAAUUCACUAAAUCUUUUUGAUAUUUUAAAUGCUCCCUUUGAUCCAAUUUGUAUUUGUUAUUUUUUAUGUUUAUUCGAGUUGUAUGCAGCGGUCGCUAAUAAGCUGCUA